rnacentral:tRNA from 1 species
UCCCUGGUAGCUCAAAUGGUAAAGAAUCUGCCUGCAAUGCAGGAGACCCAGGUUCCAUCCCUGGGUCGGGAA